GAUGAAACGCAGUACCAGGGAAUGCAAUUACUCACUGCCCCUGUAGACGGCACUAGUAUGUGAAAAAAUUGUUUACUUUUAUUCUAUGAAAGGAUUUCCGCCAGAUCAGACUAUGUUGUGUUUGUUUUGGGUGCAUUACAGAGAUAAUGCAGCAUUAAAGGUAGGUAUAUCUAGAAAUUGAUGAAAUACAUAUAUUAAACUGACUGAAUCAAGCUCUUUUUAUUUAACUGUUUUUGUUUGUUUUUUUCUUUUAACAAUGUGUGCUAUAUUUUUUUGAAGAUUUUACCUUUUUUUCCUACUGAUCAAAUUACCCAGAUUAUUUGAUUUUUAACCACAUAGGAAACCUUUUGACAAGCAUUUAAUUCUACAUACACAGAGUAGAUCUAAUAAUGUGUGGAUCACUAGAACCAUCUUUUAUUCUGAAACCGGAUUCAGAUUCAGCACUCCAGUUUAUUUCAUUUUGGUAAGGAGAAACGUGGUGCAUUGGUUUCUGGUAACAAAAAACUAAUUUUUUAGAAUUAAGAAGUCAAUGUAUCUAUGGUGGGCUGGAAGUACGGUGUAACCCCAAUCAGCCUUAAAACUUAGCUCUGCCUAAAGCAGUUUGCAGAACUCCUAAACUGCAAUCAAUGUAAAUACAAUUGGAAUCCUCUUCCCUGAGACUGGAAAGGAAGCACGGCCAAUGAACGGGGUACAAUUUACUUAUACUGCCUGCAGACAGAGACAGAAACCUUCAAGGUCACAGAUAUAAUGGAUCCACG